GUACUAUGUAUCCCGUAUGUUUUCUAAAUGAAGGAGUGCAUGUCUUAGGUGUGGCUAAAUUCAAGCCAGAUUUUAUGGUACAAUAAAAAUGAUAAAACACUUUGGGGUCCAAUGCUCUGGCAGCAAAGGGUCAAGGGCAGGCAACUUAUCUGCGCAAAUACCUUCUCUACUAUUUAGAUAUUCCCCCACCUCUGCCUCCUGUGUCCAUAUGGUGACUCUAUUUUACAAAAAGCCAAAAAUCACAUGAUCUGACACAUGGUCUUAGCAGGGAAUAGAAUCUAUGAAAUUAUAACUGUCCCAGAAAAUCCAGCCCAUCUGGUAGGUGCUUUUUUUUUUAUUAAGAUAUAAUUUACAUACCAUAAAAGUCACCCUUUUAAAGUGUACAACUGUACAAUUCAGUGGUUUUUAGUAUAUUCAUAGAGUUGUGCAACCAUCAUGACUAUCUAAUUUCAGAACAUUUUCAUCACCCUAAAAAGAAAACCUUUGACCCAUUAGCAGUCAUUCCCUAUUCUCAUUCCCUCCCAGCCCCUGGCAGCCAUGAAUUUACUUUCUGUCUAUAGAUUUGCCUUUCCUGGACAUUUCCUAUAAAUAGAAUCAUGAAAUAUGUGGCCUUUUGUGUCUGGCUUUUUUCACUGAUACUUUCUUUAGGGCUUCAUGUUGUAGCAUGUAUCAGUACUUCAUUUCUUUUUAUUGACAAAUAGUAUUCCAUUGUAUGGAUAUACCAUAUUUUGUUUCUCCAUUUAUCAGCUGAUGGGCAUUUGGGUUGGUUCCACUCUUUGGCUGUUGUGAAUGCAACUAUAGAUGCUUUUAACACUGACCUACAAGGGAUGGGGUUGUGGUUAAUGAAACCAACAAAAAGGGCCUUUCCUUAUUGGACUUGUUGCCUAAGAGCAGUUUGGGAACAGGCUUUAAAGAGAGAGACCCAGAAAGGAAGGGAUGAUUGGAAGGCAAUAGAAGCUGUCUAUUUGGGUGACAUCAUCACUGGAGAGCAGGCUGCCCUGGCAGAAAAGACGAAGGAUAUACCAGUCCCAGUCUGACUUACCUCCAGAAGUGAUAGAAAAGUAGAGGGACAUUCAGCCCCAGCGUGAGCCACUCUUGCGCACACAGGAACAUAAUGCAGAAGAGGCUAUGGAUGGAGUAUUCUGGCAGCACCAGCUGAAGAGGGAGCAGAGACACGGCCCUGAGUUAGAGGAGGAAAACGCCACUCCUGCUUCUAUGGCAGCUGACUUCUGCCUGGACACUGCCUCUCACAGACGGUUGACACAAAGGCCCUCCCUGCAGCAACGUAGAGCCACUGCCCCAACACAGAUCCAUUUCUGGGGUCACCCAUGGAUGGCCACUGGGAAGACUGGAAGAGCUGGUCCAGCCCAUGUGUCAUCUGACCCAAGGCAGGACCACUAGGAGAAAUACUGCAAGGGUUUCUAAUGAAUCCAUAACUGCCCUGCUCUUGUUUUUCUGGCCCCUGUGUAUCCUCCUAUAGUAACUCACAAACCUAAAGUGAAUAUGUACAUUUAUCACAAAUAUAGGAGGGUCAGGAAAAAAUGGCCAGCCUCAGAAGGCAGUGGCAUUUUGCCUGAUGGUGGAUGGAGCAAGAGGAACGCGAGAAAAACAACAAUUAGCAAUGAUGAAGAGGGACAGUGUAGCCUCUGGGGGAAGAGGGAAGAAACUGAUCCUGACCAAGAAAGGCCUGAUGGUGGGAAGUGUGACCAGCAGGAAGACUAAGCUCUCCCACCUCCAAUCCAGCCACACAGGUAUAAAUGGGUAAAAGGAGCUUAAAAUCAUUGAAAAGCUGCUCCCAAGGGUAACUUCAUUUUAUCAGAAAUCAAAGUUGUAAGCUAAAGGGUAACUGUAAGGAAGAAAUUUGGCACCUAGACCAGCAGUAGGGAAGGCUACAGAUAUAAAUGCACCAUUUUACCCAGUUAUAUAGGGAGAUAUAGAUACAUAUUACUAAAUAUAUUUAUUUAUAUAAUAUAUAAAUAUACUUUGUAUUGUUUAGGCUCUCAUGAAUACUUUGUUCUUCCCAUCAAAAUCUUUUGAAACAUCCUUCAAGGCCCAUCUCAAAUGCCACUUACCUUUUUUUUUUUUUUUUUUUUUUUGGAGACAUAGUCUUACUCUGUUGCCCAGGCUGGAGUACAGUGGCGUGAUCUUGGCUCACUCUAACCUCUGCCUCCUGGGUUCAAGCAAUUCUCCUGCCUCAGCCUCCCAAGUAGCUGGCAUUACAGGCGCCUGCUACCACGCCCAGCUAAUUUUCAUAUUUUUCAGUAGAAAGGGGGUUUCACCAUGUUGGCUAGAUUGGUCUUGAACUCCUGACCUGAGGUGAUCUGCCCACCUCGGCCUCCCAAAGUGCUGCGAUUACAGGUACGAGCCACCGUCCCCAGCCUCAAAUGACACUUUCUAUUGGGAGCUCUGCCUACCGUCCCUUGUUCCUCCACCCUCCCCUGUACCUCUGGGCCCCACAGCAUGUUUUCUGACCCCCUCCCAGGGGUACUUUCCAUAAUCUAUCCAUUGUGGAGUCAUCAUCCUCUUCCCACCUUCCAAUACAGAUAGAUUCCUCUGUCCAGCAUUCUGCAAGCCAUCUUAGCCAACGUCUAUUCUUUUCUCAUUUCCAUUUGCAAAGCGCCUUUGUACAAUGCAUGGCAGUUAGGAGAGACUUAACAAAUACGUGGUAAAGUGCAUUGAAAUGACCAAGUGCAUAUGUUUACAACAUGGCUGGCUGGCAUUAGAUAUGCAGCCUGUGGUUACAAACUAAGAUUUCUUUGGGUGGAGAACAAACUCCCUCAAACCAUCCCAUUUGGGUAUGGACCAUGACUUUGGUCUCUCAAUUUAGUUAGAUGAGCUAACUACCCCAGAUGGCAGACACAGAGGGAGAAACACAUACGCACACAUUAAAAAUAAAGACAUGCACAGCACACGUGUAAGACAUUUUGUAACUAUGGGGCACCUUCUUUAUUCUCAAAGUCCAGUGUAGAUGAAUUGCAUUAACCCUCACCUUAGACUUCUCAGGCAAUCACCUGAGGAAUCAGAGCAAAGGAGCCAUCAUUCCAGAGGUGGUGACCCUUGGUGGGUGAAGCAGGUACCACCAGCCCCUGUGAAUCUCAACCACCUGGCAGGAGGGGGCACGCCAUGUCCCUAUUGUAUCUCCUUAUAGGACCUCAGAGCUGUGAUAACCAAUCCUAUCUACCCCCAGCCAAGGCAUCACCCUACCCCCUCCCAUUCAAAGAGAAAGCCCACUUUCUCAGAGCUGGGUGCGCCAGCCCCGGGAGGCAGUGGCUGUGAGUUCUGCUAUGCACAUCUCUACAUUUUCUAAUCAUCAGUUUCAGCCACUUAAGCUGAGGCAAUUAACAUGUUUAGAGACAGCCACCGUGGGCCUGAAUCAUCCAUUAUUUCUCCAUCUCCAUCUCCAAUUCCAAUGACAAAUCUCUGACUGAUUACAGUUUGGAUUUCAGGUCCCACUCUUAAUCACCACUGCUUCUUCUCUCUUUGGGGCUUGAUUUAUUGUGGAGGCUGCAACCUUCCAAGCAGGGAGGAUUCAUCACUGUCUCCACGUAGAGGAAAACUGCUUAAUGCAGGCCAGCUAGUCACGGAGGUCUCCAGCCUUUUGGAGGUUGGGAAAAAAGCUGAAGAAUUUAUUCUGCCAUUUCAG
rnacentral:lncRNA from 1 species